GGCAGGCCGCUCCUGCCGCCAUUUUGGAGCGAGCGAGCGAGCGAGCCUGUGGUGGCCGAGCCCUCAGCCCCGGCGCUCGGUGACAGCGCAGCCCGGCCGGGGAGCGAGCCGCUGCCAGGCCCGGGGACGUGUCCCAUGUCCGCGGCCUUGCCGGCCUCUGCAGCGCAGGGAGCAGCGGGAGCGGAGCUGCGGGCCCGCCGCCGGGGAAGGCCGGGCCCGGAGCAGGAAAAAGAGACUGGAGCAAAACUUCACAUUGAAAGAAAGCUCUUUUUUUUUUCUUUUUUCUUUUCUUUUUUUUUUUUUUUUAAGAUGAAUAUACCCCAGGAACUGUAACCCAAAUGUUUCUCUGUCCGUGGAGAAGAUUUCAUUUUUGAAACAAGAUUUCUACGGAAGCUGGGUGAGUUCCAUCAUCAUGUUCUGGAAGUUUGAUUUAAACACAUCAUCACAUGUGGACAAGCUGCUGGAUAAGGAGGAUGUGACACUGCACGAGCUGAUGGAUGAAGAUGACAUCCUACAGGAGUGCAAGGCACAGAACCGCAAACUGCUGGACUUCAUCUGCCAGCAGCACUGCAUGGAGGAGCUGGUUAGCCUCAUCACACAUGAGCCCCCCGUGGACAUGGACGAGAAGGUCCGCUUCAAAUAUCCGAAUACAGCCUGUGAACUCCUGACCUCUGAUGUGCCACAGAUCAACGACAAACUAGGAGGGGAUGAAACUUUAUUGAACAUCCUGUAUGACUUCUUGAAUCACGAGCCGCCUUUGAACCCUUUGCUUGCCAGUUUCUUCAGCAAGACUAUUGGGAAUCUCAUUGCAAGAAAAACUGAACAGGUGAUUGCAUUUUUGAGAAAUAAAGACCAAUUUAUUAGCCUGGUACUAAAGCAUAUUGAUACAUCUGCAAUGAUGGACCUGCUGCUUCGUCUGAUCAGCUGCGUGGAACCAGCACCUCUACGUCAGGAAGUAUUAAAUUGGCUUAAUGAAGCAAAAGUAAUUCAGAGACUUGUGGAGCUGAUCCAUUCGAGCCAGGAUGAGGAUAGGCAAUCAAAUGCUUCCCAGACCUUGUGUGAUAUCAUAAGACUGAGCAGAGACCAGGGCAACCAGCUACAGGAGAUAUCUGAGCCUGAUCCGCUUCUCACAGCACUGGAAUCGCAGGAAUGCGUGGAACAGCUUUUGAAAAACAUGUUUGAUGGAGACCAGACUGAAAACUGCAUAGUGAAUGGAACUCAGAUUUUAUUAACGUUAUUGGAGACAAGGCGCUCUGGAGUGGAGGGACUAAUGGACUCAUUCUCUCAGGGAUUUGAAAGGUCUUACACUGUCAAUAGCAGCAUCUUACAUGGUAUUGAACCACGGCUAAAGGAUUUUCACCAGCUUCUACUCAAUCCCCCCAAGAAAAUGUCAAUCCUGACUACAAUUGGUGUCUUGGAGGAGCCACUGGGGAAUGCUCGUCUUCAUGGAGCUCGACUAAUAGCGGCUCUGCUUCACACAAACACACCCAGUAUUAACUAUGAACUAUGCAGACUCAAUACCAUGGAUUUAUUACUUGACUUAUUUUUUAAAUACACAUGGAAUAACUUUUUGCACUUCCAAGUGGAACUGUGCAUAGCAGCUAUUCUCUCGCACUCUGUGCACGAAGGGAAAUCAGCAACAAAUGAUCUGGAAAAUAAAGAGGAGGUGCUGAAUGGGAAUGUGACCACAGAGAACUUGAAGACUCCAGACCACAGUCCAGAGAAUAUUAUGGUGACACAUUUGUUCCAGAAUUGCUGCCUGUUGCAAAGGAUAUUGGAUGCCUGGGAAGUCAAUGACAAAAUACAGGCAGAAGGUGGAAUGAGGCGAGGGAAUAUGGGCCACCUUACCCGAAUAGCCAAUGCUGUGGUACAGAAUAUGGAGAAGGGCCCCAUGCAGAUCCAGAUCAGUGAAUUCAUUAAAGAGCUACCUGAGGAUUGCAGAGGGAGGUGGGAGAGCUUUGUAGAAGAGACAUUGAGAGAGACAAACCGGAAGAAUACAGUGGAUUUGGUGAGCACCCACCAUCUGCAUUCAUCCAGUGAGGACGAGGACAUUGAGAGCGCUUUUCCCAAUGAACUCUCCCUCCAACAGGCAUUCUCAGAGUACCAAAUCCAACAGAUGACAGCCAACUUUGUGGAUCAGUUUGGCUUCAAUGACGAAGAGUUUGCAGACCAGGAUGACAAUAUCAAUGCACCUUUUGACAGGAUUGCAGAGAUAAACUUCAACAUAGAUGCGGAUGAUGACAGUCCAAAUGCAUCCCUCUUUGAGGCCUGCUGCAAUGAACGGAUCCAACAAUUUGAUGAUAAAGAGGAGGAGGAAGAUAUCUGGGAGGAGAAGGAAAUAACCUAUGCAACCCAAGUCAAAUCAAGAACACGGUUUGGAGUGUCUCAGACCUCAGAGAGUUCCUCAAAAAGUGAUCUAGAGAAUGGGGAUCGUGAUGGCAGUGUGGACUCAGAAGAAGAGGAGGAAACAGAAGAACAAACAACACCUGUCACCGAGAACACCAACAAGAAUAAUCCUUCUGAGCAGAAAGACACUAACUCUACUGAAGGAUCUGGGUGGACAGCUGUGUUUGAGCCUGUGAAUUCAAAACCCCCGGUACCCUGUGUUGCCAUGGAUGUUGGAUCAAGUGUAUGGGAUUCAGCAGCACCAGAGACAGCCACUCCUGAGGAGAAAGGAUGGGCAAAAUUUACAGACUUUCAACCUUUUUGUUGCUCCGAAUCAGGUCCCAGAUGUAGUUCUCCUGUGGAUACAGAAAGCAGUGACUCAGAGGGAAACCCCAAGCAGGGUCAGGACAAGAACUUCAGUGCUGCCUCACCCUGUGUUUGGAAUGUCUGUGUGGCAAGGAAGGCACCUCUGGUGGCUUCAGACAGCAGCUCAUCUGGAGGCUCAGACAGUGAGGAAGAGGAGGAUAAAGCUGAUAUCGUCACAGAAACCAUCAGUACAGGCUCGGGCCAGGAAACCAUCAAACUCACCAUGGAUGCUAAGAACGAGAAGGCUGUGUUCACCAGAAUAUUUAGACCUUCAGUCAGAGGUGAUGCAGACUGCCUGGUUAUUGACAAGCUGACCAUCACAGACAUGGGAACGACAAAGGUGUCCAAACCACUAAACAGCAUGCCCCAGCAUUCUGAGGAGCUCCAGAACGCUGCAGCUGUCGGCAUGGCUGCCACAGAAAGCACAACAAAAGACAGGAGAAAACCCAGCUUUCAAGUAGUUCUACUCCACUAGCGCAGCCAUCAGCCAAUCGGAUUGUACAGUAUCCAGUGAAUUUUAUAUGAGUGCACACUUGAGAACCAGGAGCAUAUGGCUUCUAAUCCUUGUUUUGACUUUUGGCCUUGGACAGCUUUACUGCAAGUUCUCCAUAUGUAAAAUGGGGCAGUCCAGUGCCAUACAAGUGCUUAGUUAUUAAUGUUGUGGUCAUGGCUAUUGAAAAAACUAUAUGCUGGAAGGAUGGCUUCAGCGUCACAGAAAAGGAAAGAGGAGGUCUUGCCAUGUGCUGAAGCCACAUUAAACGGCCCUGCUUGAUGAAGCAAAUGCAAUGGGACAUGUCUGAUCCAGGCCAGGCUGCUACCUGGUGAUGCAAUUUGUCAGUUUUUUUCAUUUUAAUUUUAUUUUUUAAUAAAUGCUGCAUUGAUGAGAGAGCUGGCAUUCAGGACCAGACACACGAUUUCAACACCAACAAUCUGUUCCGGAAGACACUUGUUUUGUCUAAAUGUAGCAUUGAUCAGUUAGUCAUCACAGGAAUGACUCGGCCCUACCCAAGGAAGCCUUCUGCCUAAUUUUAGUACCUUGUCCCCCUCUCUCUGCUUCCCUUGUUUUUGUUUUCUCUUUGGGGUUCAAUCCUAUUUUCUUAGUGUUAUUGCACACAGUAUUCAGCUUCUCUUCAGAAAGGUAGCAGGUCUAACGCUGGGACUUGGACGGUGCGCAAUAAGUCCUGCAGUCGUGUGACCAAAGUUCCUGAUGGAGCUGUCUUUGGGCAGCAUUUGCACCGCUUUUGUAUAGCAAUAAAGCCUUAUCAGAAACAUUUCAUAGGAGGUAAAGAUAAAACAAACACUUUAAAUGGGAU